GUGCCAGCAGCCGCGGUAAUACGGAGGGUGCAAGCGUUGUCCGGAUUUAUUGGGUUUAAAGGGUGCGUAGGCGGCUUUUUAAGUCAGUGGUGAAAGCCUGCAGCUUAACUGCAGAACUGCCAUUGAUACUGAAGAGCUUGAGUACAGACGAGGUAGGCGGAAUUUAUGAUGUAGCGGUGAAAUGCAUAGAUAUCAUAAGGAACGCCGAUUGCGAAGGCAGCUUACUAGACUGUAACUGACGCUGAGGCACGAAAGCGUGGGGAGCAAACAGGAUUAGAAACCCUUGUAGUCC
rnacentral:rRNA from 1 species